ACCCCAGAUAGAGAGUAGAACAGUCUUCCAACUUUCAAAAAUUUGACGGUCGGUUCUAUCUUAUUUCUGACCAUUACGAAAUGCCCCCGUUCACCCGAGGAAUCCAAUGAAGUAGGGAAGAGCUGGCACUUUGGACCAGAGGACCGGGAGCUUCCUACUCUGAUGUCGUGACAAGGGAGACCCUUUCAAGAGGCUAGGGCCAGAGGCACAAAGCCCAAGCUCUGGUGAGCUCUCAAAAACUGUGGGCCGCCAUGUGACCAAGUCUGAAUGCUGGAGGAGCCUAGAGGUUCCUCCGGUCUAAUCCUGAGGCCCAGAGAGGGUUUCUAGCUCAAGGACAUAGAGCACAUGGCAGAGCCAAGGCUGGAACCCAGGUGUCCUGGCUUCUGGUUGCUGAGGAGGGAGAAUGGCCUGCUGAGAGGGCCCCUACCCAGGCAAGAAAAAGGAGCACAGAGGGUCAGCUGGAAGGGGUCAGGGCAGGACUGAGGAGGGCGGGGCUUAGAAGAGAAGAGCUCCCAUAACUAAAAGAUCAGUGGGGUGUAGGGGUGCCCUGAGAGGUGGGGACUGCAGCUCCUCAGAAGGAAAGAACAAAGCAAAGUCAGGAAUUCCUCUCUGGGGUGGAAACAGCCCAGCUGAGCAUGCUGGUCAGCAUCACAGACUCCAGAACGUGAUGCUAAGAGAUCACCUGUCUCAACGCCAUGAUUCCACAGGUAAGAAAACGGAGACCCAGAUGUGACGUCACCUAGGAGGCAGAGCCAGAUCCAGACUCAGGUCUCCAGACUCACAGCCAUCGGCUCUUUUCAUGCAACCUUUAAUCUCCCCACUGUGGAUUCUGAUGGCUCCUCCCACCCCCUGGGAACCUGCAGUCUGAACAGAAGGAGAAGGGGAGUGGCCAGGGUCCCCGCAGCCCCAGGCACCGAGAGCUCUGUACCUUUCUCCAUCCUCUCCCCAAAGAGAACAGAGAAUUGGCUGGGACCCCAAUGGCCCCUCCUCCAGGGCAGAGUCAAUUGGUGCCUGCCCACACCUGCUACCUCCCUUACUGGCAACAGAGUCAGAGCCAGCACCAGCCACAGCAAGGACAAAGCCACCUGGGCAGCUGCUGGAGCCACAGGGAGACAGAGGAAACGAAGGCCUAGGAAGCCCUUGAGCACCUGCACCGCCACCCCUCCUGAGUGGAGGCCCCAACACCCCAUUGAUGGGCUCAGAUCCCUCCUGUAACUUCUCCACUGCUGCCCCCCAAU
rnacentral:lncRNA from 1 species